rnacentral:misc_RNA from 1 species
UCUUUUCUUUUGAUAAGAGAGUUUUUAAAACCAGUGUUAUUUUUGUAAGUUUAAGAGAAGUUUGUGUAUUGAAUUUUUUAUUUUUAAUAUUAAAGAGCUUUGUUAAACUUAGACUUAAGUUUAGGUCAUUUUGGGGGUUUAGCUCAGUUGGCUAGAGCAUCGGCUUUGCAGGCCGAGGGUCAAGGGUUCGAGUCCCUUAACCUCCAUUGGGCUUAUGUCCUAAAUUGUAAUUAAGUAUGUUUUUAAGCAACUUUAUUAAAGUAAUUGUUGGAAUGUGAAACAGAGGAAGUUAAAAUUUCUGGGUUAAGUUGAGAUCUGUUGAUAUUAAGAAGAAUCUCUAGAAGCAAAAGCAAGCUUUCGAUAAAACCCGAAGUUGUUUCGCUAAAGUGCAAGGAUUAAACAGGAUUGUAUUUUCCAGCAGCCUAUUUUAUAAAUGAUCUGCAUUUAGUAAAUAGUUUUUAGUUAGGAAAUAAUGUAGAUUGCUAAGUGUGAUGUCUGAAAGAAGGACAAGUAUUGUAGCGAGCCUAAAUCCUUGUUAUCGUUGCCAGUAUUUAGUGGUAGGGAUUCGGAUAAGACUGCUAUUUAUAAGUUGGAGGAAGGCAAAGAUUGCAUCAAAUCGUUAUCGCUCUUAUGUUUUAGGUUACAAGUUUGCCACAAUAACCCAAAAAAGCUAAGCAAAAUGCUAUAAAGCAGAUUUCAGUUUGGAUUUGCCCGACACUCAAUGGCAUGAAGUUGUAAUUGUUAGUAAUCG